GAGAGUCGAGGUCAGUGGUCCAUACGUCCACUGGGUGUGCUUCCGCUUCUGCAUCAGGUGCUGAAACAUCUAAGGGAAAGUGAAGAUGACUCAGGAGCAGCACAAAAGACAAACAAGAAGAGAGGCUGCAGCCCUUUGGGAAGCUUUACAAGUAGGCUAAGUGUGCCUUGCAGCGGAUCGGCUUUCUGGGAGAAGUAAAAUGGAAAGAGCAAUUGAUCUGUAAUAAAGACAGCUGCAUUCUAACCCCAGCUGACCAGAAAUCA
rnacentral:lncRNA from 10 species